rnacentral:rRNA from 1 species
AACGAACGCUGGCGGCAUGCCUAACACAUGCAAGUCGAACGAGACCUUCGGGUCUAGUGGCGCACGGGUGCGUAACGCGUGGGAACCUGCCCUUAGGUUCGGAAUAACUCCCCGAAAGGGGUGCUAAUACCGGAUAAUGUCUUCGGACCAAAGAUUUAUCGCCUUUGGAUGGGCCCGCGUUGGAUUAGCUAGUUGGUAGGGUAAAAGCCUACCAAGGCGACGAUCCAUAGCUGGUCUGAGAGGAUGAUCAGCCACACUGGGACUGAGACACGGCCCAGACUCCUACGGGAGGCAGCAGUGGGGAAUAUUGGACAGUGGGCGAAAGCCUGAUCCAGCAAGGCCGCGUGAGUGAUGAAGGCCUUAGGGUUGUAAAGCUCUUUUACCCGGGAUGAUAAUGACAGUACCGGGAGAAUAAGCUCCGGCUAACUCCGUG